GAAAUAUAGACAAAAGAAGCUUCUAACUUACUUUUCUAGCGGUGAGACUCCGUUAAUAUUUCU
rnacentral:tRNA from 1 species